AGCAGGUUCCAGAGAGAAAGAUGAGAAAGACAGGAAGACGGAGCACAGACAACUAAGCAAGGCACCAAGCUGAAAGGGGGAGUGGAGGCAUUGUGGGGGAUGCAGGUGGGCGGGGGUGGCUGCCCUGCCAGGAAAGAGAUGACUGGCCUCCAGCUGGACUGAGACACCAAGGACACUGUGACAAGUGGAACCUGAGUAACUCUGACCGACGAAGGUUUUAUGACGGUCACGAUCCCAUUAUUCUUUUUCCAAAGCAAGUUACCUGCAGAGCUGGGAGCCUGUCAGGUCAGCAAGGUCACCCUGGAAAUUGGGGGCCCUAGCACAGACCGUGAGAGUGCAAUAGAGCUGGGGGCCCCCAUGGAUAAACUUAUUUGCAGACUCACGACAGCACAGGACAGAGAACGACUCACCCCGGCCCCUUAUUUUCUGAAACCGCAGCAUUCUCUCCCAGGGCCAAUCAACGCUCACGCUCCCCAUGUUGUGCGUCCAUUCACGGCUCUGACGUGAUCCGCGGCUGGGUACAGCCACGGCUGAAACCAACCAGGUCCCCGGCCUCAGAAACAGAAGCAGAAUCAUUUCAGGAAACACAAGUUCCAAGUGACCCACUCUCUCCUCUGAGAACAUCUUUAGCCAAACCCAACUUUGACAGAAAACGCUCUCCUUUCCGUAUCUCAGCUCCAGAGUUUGACCGACACGUCUAGCCAGCGAGACCCACCAGCAGACGAGGGCAAUUGAUGGGUGACGCUUCCUGGGAGCCCCCCCACCUUCCGGGCAGGAACGCUGUACCGCCCUGCGCUGCCCCACCACAGAAAUGGGGCCACCCCUGUGACAGCAGACGGGCAGAGGGAGCCUGGGUCGCCAAUACCAGCGAGCUUCCAGACGAGCCCUAGACUUGUUACAGCUGCCUCAUCCCACAGGACACAACCAUCGUCUGUCUGCUGGAAGCCACUGCGUGGGGCCUUCAGCACAGCAGCUGAGCCUUUCAUCUGGCUGACAUAACCUUUCUGAGUUAGCCACUGGAAAAUGGAAGAUCCGUGAAGGAGAGCAGUGCAGGGAACGAGCACUCCGGCUCGAAAGGGGCAGAGGGUAGCUCUCUCCAGGGAAGCGUGUGCCGAGAGGCUGUCUGGCAGGCAUAACCGUACCGAGAGGCAUUCCACAGAGGAUGGGAGACUGGAUGUUCAGAGCAGGUGGGAGACGCGGUGGGGAGACAUGGUCACGGCGCUGGCUCCGCGCUCAGCGGCACUCACGCAGGCCGAGUCUGAGGCUGGCCAACAGGAGGCCAGGGGAGGCGGAGCCACAAACUGGGAGCACAGCUAGAGCAGCGGCCCCGGUGAAGCGAGGAUGGGGCAGCUGCAUUUUGUCAAAAGCCGUUUUGGACCACUUCCAUAGAAUAUCUUGGUUUAAAAUAAUUAAUUUAAAAGUUUUUUUAAAGUGCCAGAGAAACAUCCAAGGCCACUG